UACGUAUGAUGCAAGCGUUGUUCGGAAUUAUUGGGCAUAAAGGGCAUCUAGGCGGGAUAAUAAGUCGGGUGUGAAAGCCUGGGGCUCAACCCCAGAAUUGCAUUCGAUACUGUUGUUCUUGAGUUAGGAAGAGGAAGGCGGAAUUUCUGGUGUAGCGGUGAAAUGCGUAGAUAUCAGAAAGAACACCGGUGGCGAAGGCGGCCUUCUGGUCCAUAACUGACGCUGAAGUGCGAAAGUGUGGGGAGCGAACGGG
rnacentral:rRNA from 1 species